rnacentral:lncRNA from 1 species
UUUCUGAAAACAGAAGAGAUACAGUCUUCAUUUAAAAGUGAUCCAUGAAGUGACAUCAGCAAGAUAAGCAACUAAACUGCCUGGCUUUUGUCCCCACCCCAAAAGGGACUAAAACAAUGAUUAAACAGCUACAUUUUGGCUGGAAUAUCUGAAGAAUUGUGCUGGAGAGUACCAAGGAAACAGUGAAACUCUUGUGGAGCACAGAAGCCCAGGAUAGUCAAUAAAGACGGGAGUGAGACAUCCUGCCUUUGCCAUAUUAUCUCCUUCACUAGGAUCAGAUUGGAGCCAGAGAGUACUCUUUUUAUGGAUAAAGCUGUUCCAGCAAAUCAAAUGAACCCAAAGAAGGACCUGGAAUUGCCAACAUGAAGCCAGUCAGUCACAAGUUCCAGACUUUUUCCAUCAUUUGCCACUGAUAUCUGAAGGUGUGUGUGUGUAUAGGUAGGGGUGGGCAGUCUUGAGGACUGAUAUAUAAAUAAAAUAGAUAUAAUAUUGCCUAAUUAAUAUUUAAAAAUCAAAUACUAUAAUUAAAAACUGAUAUUGACACAACAAUAUAAAAAUACAAAUAAAAAUUAUAGAAUACAGAUAUAUUUUUUCUGUAAAAUACUAAGGGACAGUUGGGGUGUAAAUAUGUUGUUUUGAGCAAAGUUAAUUGAUUUCAUGUUAACAAUUAAUAUUUUUCUUUCAUGCAGUAAAAAUUUUUAAAAGGAGAUGAAACCCCUUUGGAAUCAAAUUGAUGUUUAAAUUUGCCUUCCUUUUACUUAUUUUCAUAGACAAAAUAUA